CCUGACCUCGAUUCAAGCGU
rnacentral:rRNA from 1 species